CGACCAGCCACACUGGAACUGAGACACGGUCCAGACUCCUACGGGAGACAGCAGUGGGGAAUUUUGGACAAUGGGCGCAAGCCUGAUCCAGCAAUGCCGCGUGAGUGAAGAAGGCCUUCGGGUUGUAAAGCUCUUUUGUCAGGGAAGAAACGGUUCGGGCUAUUAUCCUGGGCUAAUGACGGUACCUGAAGAAUAAGCACCGGCUAACUACGUGCCAGCAGCCGCGGUAAUACGUAGGGUGCAAGCGUUAAUCGGAAUUACUGGGCGUAAAGCGUGCGCAGGCGGUUGUGCAAGACAGAUGUGAAAUCCCCGGGCUCAACCUGGGAAUUGCAUUUGUGACUGCACGGCUAGAGUGUGUCAGAGGGGGGUAGAAUUCCACGUGUAGCAGUGAAAUGCGUAGAGAUGUGGAGGAAUACCGAUGGCGAAGGCAGCCCCCUGGGAUAACACUGACGCUCAUGCACGAAAGCGUGGGGAGCAAACAGGAUUAGAUACCCUGGUAGUCCACGCCCUAAACGAUGUCUACUAGUUGUCGGGUCUUAAUUGACUUGGUAACGCAGCUAACGCGUGAAGUAGACCGCCUGGGGAGUACGGUCGCAAGAUUAAAACUCAAAGGAAUUGACGGGGACCCGCACAAGCGGUGGAUGAUGUGGAUUAAUUCGAUGCAACGCGAAAAACCUUACCUACCCUUGACAUGUCUGGAAUCCUUGAGAGAUCAGGGAGUGCUCGAAAGAGAAUCAGAACACAGGUGCUGCAUGGCUGUCGUCAGCUCGUGUCGUGAGAUGUUGGGUUAAGUCCCGCAACGAGCGCAACCCUUGUCAUUAGUUGCUACGAAAGGGCACUCUAAUGAGACUGCCGGUGACAAACCGGAGGAAGGUGGGGAUGACGUCAAGUCCUCAUGGCCCUUAUGGGUAGGGCUUCACACGUCAUACAAUGGUACAUACAGAGGGCCGCCAACCCGCGAGGGGGAGCUAAUCCCAGAAAGUGUAUCGUAGUCCGGAUUGUAGUCUGCAACUCGACUACAUGAAGUUGGAAUCGCUAGUAAUCGCGGAUCAGCAUGUCGCGGUGAAUACGUUCCCGGGUCUUGUACACACCGCCCGUCACACCAUGGGAGCGGGUUUCACCAGAAGUGGGUAGCCUAACCGCAAGGAGGGCGCUCACCACGGUGGGAUUCGUGACUGGGUGAAGUCGUAACAAGGUA
rnacentral:rRNA from 1 species